UACGUAGGGGGCUAGCGUUGUCCGGAAUCAUUGGGCGUAAAGCGCGCGUAGGCGGCCCGGUAAGUCCGCUGUGAAAGUCAAAGGCUCAACCUUUGAAUGUCAGCGGAUACUGCCGGACUAGAGGUAGGUAGGGGAGAUCGGAAUUCCUGGUGUAGCGGUGAAAUGCGCAGAUAUCGGGAGGAACACCUAUUGCGAAGGCAGCUCGCUGGGACGUUACUGACGCUGCGACGCGAAAGCGUGGUGAGCAAACAGG
rnacentral:rRNA from 1 species